rnacentral:rRNA from 1 species
UCCAAAGAGUCGUGUUGCUUGAUAGUGCAGCACUAAGUGGGUGGUAAACUCCAUCUAAAACUAAAUAUAACCAUGAGACCGAUAGUAAACAAGUACCGUGAGGGAAAGUUGAAAAGAACUCUGAAUAGAGAGUUAAAUAGUACGUGAAACUGCUUAGAGGUUAAGCCCGAUGAACCUGAAUAUCCGUUAUGGAAAAUUCAUCAUUAGAAUUGUAAUAUUUUAAACAAUAUUAUAAUAAUAGUGUGCAUUUUUUCCAUAUAAGGACAUUGUAAUCUAUUAGCAUAAAUAUUUAUCAUAAAAUUAUGUCUGAUUGCUUAUUUGAAUUAUAUGCUUGGCAUUUUAACAUAAAAUAAAAGAUAUAAAUUUGAUAAAGUGCUGAUAGAUUUAUAUGAUUACAGUGCGUUAAUUUUUCGGAAUUAUAUAAUGGCAUAAUUAUCAUUGAUAUUUGUGUUUAUUAUAUGCA